rnacentral:rRNA from 1 species
UACGUAGGGUGCGAGCGUUGUCCGGAAUUAUUGGGCGUAAAGGGCUCGUAGGCGGUCUGUUGCGUCGGGAGUGAAAACUCAGGGCUUAACCCUGAGCCUGCUUCCGAUACGGGCAGACUAGAGGCAUGCAGGGGAGAACGGAAUUCCUGGUGUAGCGGUGAAAUGCGCAGAUAUCAGGAGGAACACCAAUGGCGAAGGCAGCACUCUGGGACGGUACUGACGCUGAGACGCGAAAGCGUGGGGAGCAAACAGG